rnacentral:rRNA from 1 species
UACGGGAGGCAGCAGUGGGGAAUAUUGCACAAUGGGCGCAAGCCUGAUGCAGCCAUGCCGCGUGUAUGAAAAAGGCCUUCGGGUUGUAAAGUACUUUCAGUCGUGAGGAAGGUGUUAAGGUUAAUAACCUUAGCAAUUGACGUUAGCGACAGAAGAAGCACCGGCUAACUCCGUGCCAGCAGCCGCGGUAAUACGGAGGGUGCGAGCGUUAAUCGGAAUUACUGGGCGUAAAGGGCACGCAGGCGGUUAAUUAAGUUGGAUGUGAAAUCCCCGGGCUUAACCUGGGAAUGGCAUUCAAGACUGGUUAGCUAGAGUCUUGUAGAGGGGGUAGAAUUCCAUGUGUAGCGGUGAAAUGCGUAGAGAUGUGGAGGAAUACCGGUGGCGAAGGCGGCCCCUGGACAAAAGACUGACGCUCAUGUGCGAAAAGCGUGGGGAGCAAAACGAGGAUUAGAUACC